GACGAACGCUGGCGGCGUGCUUAACACAUGCAAGUCGAACGGAAAGGCCCUGCUUUUGUGGGGUGCUCGAGUGGCGAACGGGUGAGUAACACGUGAGUAACCUGCCCUUGACUUUGGGAUAACUUCAGGAAACUGGGGCUAAUACCGGAUAGGAGCUCCUGCUGCAUGGUGGGGGUUGGAAAGUUUCGGCGGUUGGGGAUGGACUGGCGGCUUAUCAGCUUGUUGGUGGGGUAGUGGUUUGCCGAGGCAUUGACGGGUAGCCGGCCUGAGAGGGUGAACGGCGACAAUGGGACUGAGAUACGGCGCAGUCGGCUAUGGGAGGCAGCAGUCGCGAGUAUGGUCCAACGGGCCGAAGCCUGAUGCAGAGGCGCUGGGGUCGGGAUGACGGCCUGCGGGGUGAGAACCGCAUCCGCUUGUUACGAAGCGGGAGUGACGGUAAUGGAUAAAGAAGCACCGGCUAACUACGUG
rnacentral:rRNA from 1 species